rnacentral:ncRNA from 1 species
CGUUCUUUGCCACCGGGUGAAGAAGUUAAGCGUCAUAUUUCCUUUCGUAGGUCUUUGAAGAUAGGAAGUAGGGGCGCAUUUUUUUU